UUACUGCUAUCGAGGUCCGACUAAGCCAUGCGAGUCGAAUGUCCGCAAGGACAUGGCGAACUGCUCAGUAACACGUGGACAACCUACCCUUGGGACGUGGAUAAACCCGGGAAACUGGGUAUAAUCCGCGAUAGCUGUAGAAACCUGGAAUGGCUCUACGGCGAAAGCUCCGGCGCCCAAGGAUGGGUCUGCGGCCUAUCAGGUAGUAGUGGGUUUAACGUACCUACUAGCCUACGACGGGUACGGGUUGUGAGAGCAAGAGCCCGGAGAUGGAUUCUGAGACACGAAUCCAGGCCCUACGGGGUGCAGCAGGCGCGAAAACUUUACAAUGCUGGCAACAGCGAUAAGGGGACCUCGAGUGCCAGGUUACAAAUCUGGCUGUCGAGAUGCCUAAAAAGCAUUUCAUAGCAAGGGCCGGGCAAGACCGGUGCCAGCCGCCGCGGUAACACCGGCGGCUCGAGUGGUAACCGCUAUUAUUUGGUCUAAAGGGUCUGUAGCCGGGCGGCUCGAGUGGUAACCGCUAUUAUUUGGUCUAAAGGGUCUGUAGCCG
rnacentral:rRNA from 1 species